AACGUUUGGAAACGAACGCUAAUACCGCAUAAACUAUGGAUGUUCGCAUGAACAUUAUAGCAAAGAUUUUAUCGGCAUAGGAUGGACCCGCGUUGGAUUAGCUAGUUGGUGAGAUAACAGCCCACCAAGGCGACGAUCCAUAGCCGGCCUGAGAGGGUGAACGGCCACAUUGGGACUGAGACACGGCCCAAACUCCUACGGGAGGCAGCAGUGGGGAAUAUUGCACAAUGGGCGCAAGCCUGAUGCAGCGACGCCGCGUGAAGGAUGAAGGUCUUCGGAUUGUAAACUUCUAUCAGCAGGGAAGAAUAAAUGACGGUACCUGACUAAGAAGCUCCGGCUAACUACGUGCCAGCAGCCGCGGUAAUACGUAGGGAGCGAGCGUUAUCCGGAUUUACUGGGUGUAAAGGGUGCGUAGGCGGUUUGGUAAGUCAGAAGUGAAAUUUUGGGGCUCAACCCCAGAGCUGCUUCUGAAACUGCUGAACUAGAGUGUGGGAGAGGAAAGUGGAAUUCCGAGUGUAGCGGUGAAAUGCGUAGAGAUUCGGAGGAACACCAGUAGCGAAGGCGGCUUUCUGGACCAUAACUGACGCUGAGGCACGAAAGCGUGGGGAGCAAACAGGAUUAGAUACCCUGGUAGUCCACGCCGUAAACGAUG
rnacentral:rRNA from 1 species